CCCUUAAAUCUUUCCACUCAUUGUACCACUGAUUUGCUACCUCCUUAAAUUGAUAAACCGCUAGUUCGACCCCUUCUACUUCAUACAUAUGCAUCACUCAAAAGAUUUUCUCCAUCUUAUCUAUAAAUUCCUAUGGGUCCUCCUCCACCUUUGUACCGGUAAACUUAGGCGGAUUCAACCUCAUAAACUGACCCACCCGUGU
rnacentral:lncRNA from 1 species